UAUUCGAACGGGGUUUUCUACGGAGCCGGAUAAUACUUCACGUACCUCAUAUGGGAUGGCCCUGUAAAUUGUGCAACACUGUGGUACCAGGAAAGAGUGACAUUUUAAAGCAUUAUAGACUGCAUCAUGGGACUUUUGGACACAGCCAUGCCUUGCCUUGUAUUCAUAUAGAUUGCCCAUGUUCUUUUAAAUCCUGGAGUUCCUUCCGCUCUCACCUCUCAAGAUACCACCCAGAAGCUAAAUCCUUCAUCUCACCACAAGAAAGCAAAUGGUGAUAUUGAAGCGCCACAUCUGUCUCCAACAUAACUCUUCUUAGAAAUGGAGCAAACUGUGAGAUUCCGGGUCCUCAUCGAUCAUGAAAUCAAGAAACUCACUCUCAGCAGUGGCAUGCCCUCAACUGUAAAUGAGUUGGUUGCAGCUGUCAAAGAACAUUUUUCCAUCCCCACAGAUAUAAGUCUUCAAUACAAAGAUGAGGAAUUUGAUGACUUCUUCACCCUAACAUCUACCAAUGAGCUGAAAGAUAAGUGCACACUUAAAGUUGUGUAUACACCGCUGGAGUUGACGCUGACAGUUGUUCCC